rnacentral:ncRNA from 1 species
ACUCUAGUUCGACUUUGUGAAAUGACUUGAGAGGUAUAGCAUAAGUGGGAGCCGAAAAGCGAAAGUGAAAUACCAGUACUUUUAACAUUAUUUUACUUAUUCCGUGAAUCAGAAGCGGGGCACUGCCCCUCUUUUUGGACCCAAGGCUCACUCUGCAGGCCGAUUCGGGCGGAAGACAUUGUCAGGUAGGGAGU